CAAGCGUUUUUCGGAUUUAUUGGGCGUAAAGCGCGCGCAGGCGGUCUUUUAAGUCUGAUGUGAAAGACCCCGGCUUAACCGGGGAGGGUCAUUGGAAACUGGAAGACUGGAGUGCAGAAGAGGAGAGGGGAAUUCCACGUGUAGCGGUGAAAUGCGUAGAUAUGUGGAGGAACACCAGUGGCGAAGGCGACUCUCUGGUCUGUAACUGACGCUGAGGCGCGAAAGCGUGGGGAGCAAACAGGAUUAGAUACCCUG
rnacentral:rRNA from 1 species